AACGCACAUUGCGCUCCCUGGUAUUCCGGGGAGCAUGCUCGUUUCAGAAUCAUUAACAUUCUCAAAGACACGGUCUGAACCUUCGGGGGAUGCCGUUACUCUUUCGGAUGUGAGCCCUUUUGCUGCAAGGCAAUGGCUUGAAAAUGAUUGUGUUUGCAACCGGCCUCCUUGGUUCGGUUCUCUCAAGUGCAACAGAUGUUAGCUCAUUCGUUACCUCUUGAUGAGAAGCGAUUCCAUUGUCCGGAUGAUCUUACACUCAACCAAAAUACACUCUCAGUGAUUCGAAGGGAUCACUGUUUGAUAACUUGGUCUGAAAUCGAGCAAGAAAACCCGCUGAACUUAA
rnacentral:misc_RNA from 1 species